CUCAUGCAUCCCCAGAGGGAUGUCAUGCCUCCCACGGAUGGCCAAGCAUGCUGGGUCACUCAUGGAUAUAUCUCAUCCUCGACGCUGAUCUCAUCUCCCCAGGAAACCCCACCUCCCACCCCUGUCACCACCCAUGAGAUGGUGACCUACCAAGCUUAUCUGCGGGGCUUAGCCCCAGUGCUGAGUAGGCCACUUUUAAAUUCAGCUGAAUAACACCAAUAAAUGCACCACUCCUAUUUGGCCCCCUCCAUGUGACAGAGCAGGGAACAUAAAUCACCAUCCCUGUCUUUACAGAAAACAUAUUAAAGACUGCCGAACUCACACAGGAUUUUCUGAAGCGGGCAGAAGAGAUGGCAGAUGAAACCGGGAUCAGAAUCUAGAAGAUGACUGCCUAACCAGGUGUGGAUAAAUCACAGGACCACGGGGCAUCUCCGGAGGGUCUUGAUUAAGGAGC
rnacentral:lncRNA from 1 species